rnacentral:rRNA from 1 species
GAUGAACGCUGGCGGCGUGCCUAAUACAUGCAAGUCGAGCGAACGGACGAGAAGCUUGCUUCUCUGAUGUUAGCGGCGGACGGGAGAGUAACACGUGGAUAACCUACCUAUAAGACUGGGAUAACUUCGGGAAACCGGAGCUAAUACCGGAUAAUAUUUUGAACCGCAUGGUUCAAACGUGAAAGACGGUCUUGCUGUCACUUAUAGAUGGAUCAGCGUUGCAUUAGCUAGUUGGUAAGGUAACGGCUUACCAAGGCAACGAUGCAUAGCCGCCCCGAGAGGGACAACGGCCAGACUGGCAGUGAGGAACGGUCCAGACACCUGCACGAGGAAGCAGUAGAGAAUCUUACGGGAGGGAGGAAUGGCGGAUGUUGCACCGCCGGCGGAGUGCUGAUCCACUUCGGCCGCUAGAACUCUGUAAGCAGGAAGGUUCAAAUGUGCAAGUACCUGGGCACAUCAUGACGGUACCUAAACAAAAAGCCACGGCUAACUCCGUG